ensembl:lncRNA
CAGGUUUUCACAAGGGCAGUUUUCACAUGUUUUUGUUGAUCCAUGUUGAAGUUAAUAUAUAAAAUGUGAGAAUAUUCGCUUUCAUUUUUGCAUUCUCUCAUCAAAUAAAACGCCGUUAACUAAUAUUCGAUGAUAUUUUAGUCCGAGUCUAAUUGACUAAAAUGAAUAAAUAUGACGACCAAAAACUGACUAAAUUUAAAGGAUAUUUUUGCCAGAGGAAAUUAAACAAAACAUUUUUCGCCAUACCAAUUCCAGUGUCUGAAUAUUCUUAAGAAUUAAAAGUUCUUUGCACUUUGAAAGGGUGUACUUGCAUUAUUCUGUUAUUAUAUUAUCAUUAUAGCAGUGGAAUAAAAUGGUCUUAAAAUUGCAAUAAUAUCGUUUAUCGCAAUUAUUUCUGAGACAAUAUAUCGUCCAACAAAAGUGGUUAUCGUGUAGUGAACAUUGAACAGAACUUGUAGCUGAUGUCAUCCAGCACAGAAGAAUCACUAGAACACUUGGGUUUCAGCCAGAGGUGUGCACAUUGUUAACCAUUUAAAGUGUCAGUACUUGAAUCGUGAAAUCAGUGUCUGGUAGGUGAAAUAGUGUCUGGUAGGUAUAGUGAAUCAUGAAAUCAGUGUCUGGUAGAUGAAACAGUGUCUGGUAGGUAUAGUGAAUCGUGAAAUCAGUGUCUGGUAGGUGAAAUAGUGUCUGGCAGGUAUAGUGAAUCGUGAAAUCAGUGUCUGGUAGGUCUGUCGCGAUACCUAAAACUCGAUACGAUACAAUAACUGAAACUUAAUAAUGGCACGAAAUAAAAGACCGCGAAUUAAACAUUAGUCAAACCUUUCAAGGGGGUGUGUCUGAAGCGCGAGGCUUUUCCCGUUCUAACGUUUGUUAGUUGUUCUAUCAGAGUCACGCAGCUCUCUGUAGCCUUGGACGUGUUUUUGAAUCUUGUGUUCUGCACUACCAUAUACGGACUUUCCCAUCGCCAUGGUGAUUUCUUUAAUCUAGAUUGAAUAAGCAAGAAAAGCAGCAAAAAGUUUGUUUUGUGUGUGUUGCUUCAAGUUUACGUUUAGUUUUAUACACUGGCACAGAAGAGUGAUCUAGGGUGCGCCUCAAUCAGCACCCAAGUAGUCAGAAGUCAGGGCAACGAUCAGGGACUCGGCCAUUUUAAAGGCUGUCUCAAUUGCAAAAUCCUUCCGGUGCCCUGGAAUGUUUGGUCCCUAAAAAAAUCCCACAAUGCACCGCAAAAACCAAGAAGCAUCGAUGCUCACUAUGUUCCCUAACUGGAAAAGAUAUUGGUCCUGCCUGCUGUUGAUAAAUGCCAGUGGUGACGUUUUACAACCAUGUCACAGGGAACCGGGUCAUCGGUGUCCCAAUGUUUAAUGAGCCAGGGUCCUUACCAGUGCACGAACCCGUGUACACCAUAUACUGAUUCAUGACCUACAGAGCUGAUUGAGAUGCACCCAUAGAUUCGGUACACUGUAAACUCACCAGGAUGCCAAAGCGCUCUCAAAUGCCAAACCUCAAAGAGUGAAGCCACUGGUGUUUUUCCCCCCAAGCUUUCACACUAAAGCUAAUCCAAAAACAGCAUGCUUAGAAGAGGUGGGUUUUUUAAAAGCCCCAUAGACUCUCCUACUCUUUCAAGGAGGGAAUGCGGGCUCGAUUACGCUGAAAUGUUUAUUACACCACACAUAAUAUAUGCUGUAUUUUAUGACAAACAGCCUACUUUAUUAUGCAGACUGCUGAAUGUAUUUUUCCAUAUGCAGACGUAUCAAACCGAGAAGCCAUGUCAUUAUCCCCCUACUGCUCGUGUAUUUAGUAUUCCAUGCGUCUAUGUUCGAUCUGGGGAGGGAAAACCGUAAAAAGAGGCUGACUAUAGAAGAUAACGUAAAUAGUUGGCAGAGCAGAGAAAGGAAAUUGAGAACAAGCUCAAA